rnacentral:rRNA from 1 species
GACGAACGCUGGCGGCGUGCUUAACACAUGCAAGUCGAACGCUGAAGCUCAGCUUGCUGGGUGGAUGAGUGGCGAACGGGUGAGUAACACGUGAGUAACCUGCCCCCUUCUUUGGGAUAACGCCCGGAAACGGGUGCUAAUACUGGAUAUUCACUGAUCUUCGCAUGGGGGUUGGUGGAAAGGUUUUUUCUGGUGGGGGAUGGGCUCGCGGCCUAUCAGCUUGUUGGUGGGGUGAUGGCCUACCAAGGCUUUGACGGGUAGGCGGCCUGAGAGGGUGACCGGUCACAUUGGGACUGAGAUACGGCCCAGACUCCUACGGGAGGCAGCAGUGGGGAAUAUUGCACAAUGGGCGAAAGCCUGAUGCAGCGACGCCGCGUGAGGGAUGGAGGCCUUCGGGUUGUAAACCUCUUUCGCUCAUGGUCAAGCCGCAACAUUGGUUGUGGUGAGGGUAGUGGGUAAAGAAGCGCCGGCUAACUACGUG